GUGUGUCCUGGGAGAGAGAGAGCGAGCGAGAGCGAGAGAGAUGGCGAGGGAGGGAGAAAAUGAAAUGUAAGACAGAUACGGAGAGUGAAAGAGAAGAAGGGGGUGUGGAGAGAGCAAGCUAGCGAGAGUGGAGAGCCAGUAAUGCAGUGCAUUGAUGCAUUUGCUGCGUCUCAGGCGUGCUCUUUCAGCGGGACGUAGCCCGGGGUUUUUGGCAGCGGCAGGCUGCCUGUUUUCCAUCACCCAAUCGAGCCAGACCUGGAAUAGGGAUAUACGUGCGAACGGAGUUGCCGUGGCUGAGCAGCGCUGGACGAGUGAGGUGAAGUGAAUGAGUGAGAGUCUCUGUGCUGUGCUGUGUGUGCGUGUGUGUUCACCCCCUCCUCUCCUGAGAUCCAGCAGACUGGCAUGAUUUGCUGGUGGUGUGGCCCUGGCUGCUGCUUGGACUGUCUCUCAUCCUCAGUGCCAUCACACCACCCUUCGGCUUUUUCUCAUCUGCACGAUCUCCACCUCUGCGGCUUUUGUCGGCAAGCUGUAAUAUGGACGCACGGACCUUUGCUUUGAUAUUACCAUCCAUCCAUCUCGCCUCUUGUCCACCUCUCCUCUCUUUCAUUCUUCCUCUUUCGUUUGACGCUAACAGCCUUCCAGUCAACAUGACCGCUGCGAGAGAACUGUGAUCGGCUUCAUACUCAUCCUCAUCCUCGCACCAGGUACAUAACAAAUCAUCAAAGCCGGGAUUAAAAUUUCGUGAAGGAGCAGCUUUGACUGCUGGAAGACUUAAGCGUAUUAGCUUUAAAACCAAGAUGGGAGUUUCAAGUGAUGUAUGGCAGACUUCAAAGAUGUUUUAAUCUGUCAGUAGGCAUGCUCUUGCACAGGCUAUUUAUAUUAGGACACAGUGUUUCUUCUGCUUGCACAUCCUAAUCAAUGGCUUCUCCGGCUAGACCCAGCCUGAUGUUGGUGUUAACCAGUUAUUAAACAGCUGCACUUCCUCUAGACUGUUUCCUCUGCUUUUCUUUAGAGUGGUCUUUAGAGGCACAUGUACUUAUUAUGAAUACUGAUUAUGAAUAAUCAUUUUAUGAUUUAAUGGUCAC